GACGAACGCUGGCGGCGUGCCUAAUACAUGCAAGUCGAACGCAGUGGGGACGGGUGAGUAACACGUGGGUAACCUCCCAUCAGAGGGGAUAACACUUGGAAACAGGUGCUAAACCGAUACUGAUGGAUGGACCCGCGGUGCAUUAGCUAGUUGGUGAGGUAACGGCUCACCAGGGCCACGAGGCAUAGCCGACCUGAGAGGUGGGUCGGCGACACUGGGACAGAGACACGGCCCAGAGUCCUACGGGAGGCAGCAGUGGGGAAUCUUCGGAAAUGGACGAAAGUCUGACCGAGCGACGCCGCGUGAGUGAAGAAGGUUUUCGGGUCGUAAAACUCUGUUGUUAGAGAAGCGGUAUCUAGCCAGAAAGCCACGGCUAACUACGUGCCAGCAGCCGCGGUAAUUC
rnacentral:rRNA from 1 species